rnacentral:lncRNA from 1 species
UUGCCCCAAAAAAAGGGGAACAAAAAAAGUUUUUUUUUUAAAUAUAAAAAGAAAAAGCAGAUAAAAAAAAGAGCUCCACAUGUAAUCCAAUAAGAUGGGCCAUGGACGAUUGGACACGUGGGAAUCGAGAAGGCUGUGGCGUGCGUGGCUGUUGGAGAUUUUGUUGAUGGGGCCCAAAUGGAAAUACAGAGAUCGUCCUAAUUUAACAAAGUGAGAAAUCAAAACAACAAUUCUUAUCCACACAUUUCUAAAGUCUUGAAAGCUACCUCUACCUUUUUUUUCACCCACUAAUUGCUUCUCUUCCAU